CCUCUGCUGACGCGGAGGGACAUUACUGA
rnacentral:rRNA from 1 species